AUUGAACGCUGGCGGCAGGCCUAACACAUGCAAGUCGAACGGUAACAGGAAGCAGCUUGCUGCUUUGCUGACGAGUGGCGGACGGGUGAGUAAUGUCUGGGAAACUGCCUGAUGGAGGGGGAUAACUACUGGAAACGGUAGCUAAUACCGCAUAACGUCGCAAGACCAAAGAGGGGGACCUUCGGGCCUCUUGCCAUCGGAUGUGCCCAGAUGGGAUUAGCUAGUAGGUGGGGUAAAGGCUCACCUAGGCGACGAUCCCUAGCUGGUCUGAGAGGAUGACCAGCCACACUGGAACUGAGACACGGUCCAGACUCCUACGGGAGGCAGCAGUGGGGAAUAUUGCACAAUGGGCGCAAGCCUGAUGCAGCCAUGCCGCGUGUAUGAAGAAGGCCUUCGGGUUGUAAAGUACUUACAGCGGGGAGGAAGGGAGUAAAGUUAAUACCUUUGCUCAUUGACGUUACCCGCAGAAGAAGCACCGGCUAACUCCGUG
rnacentral:rRNA from 1 species